rnacentral:rRNA from 1 species
CUACGGGCGGCACCAGUGAGGAAUUUUGCGCAAUGGGGGAAACCCUGACGCAGCAACGCCGCGUGAGCGAAGAAGGCCCUCGGGUCGUAAAGCUCUGUCAAGUGGGAAAAAAGCCUUUUGGUUAAUAACCAAGAGGUGUGAUGGUACCACUGGAGGAAGCACCGGCUAACUCCGUGCCAGCAGCCGCGGUAAUACGGAGGGUGCAAGCGUUGUUCGGAAUUACUGGGCGUAAAGCGCGUGCAGGCGGUUUGGUAAGUCAGAUGUGAAAGCCCUGGGCUCAACCCGGGAAGUGCAUUUGAAACUGCCUUUCUUGAGUAUGGGAGAGGAGAGUGGAAUUCCCAGUGUAGAGGUGAAAUUCGUAGAUAUUGGGAGGAACACCCGUGGCGAAGGCGACUCUCUGGACCAAUACUGACGCUGAGACGCGAAAGCGUGGGGAGCAAACAGGAUUAGAUACCCGUGUAGUC